rnacentral:lncRNA from 1 species
AGUCCUCUUCCUAAACUGUUCCAUCAACAAACAGAAGUGUUUUGUGACUGUGCUACCACACUCGGGUCAUCUGAUUUCCAAUAAGGUUAUACUUGGUUUAACAAAUAUUUUCUGCAGACAAUAAUUGUUAGGUUUCAAGACAGAAUCAGCACAGUUUGUAUAAACUGAAAUAAUCAUGUUAGAUUUUGUAACAGUGAACUUCAAAUAGAAGAACCAAUGCUUGAAUGAUCCUGGACACAUACAAACAAGUAGAAGAAGCCAAAUCCCUUAUUUCUCGGACUUCUCAUCUGCAACAUCACUAGGGAGGUCCAGCCCUGAAGGUAUCUUGCCUGGAUAGUUAG